UACGAAGGGGGCGAGCGUUGUUCGGAAUUACUGGGCGUAAAGGGCGCGUAGGCGGCGAUCCUAGUCAGAUGUGAAAGUCCUGGGCUUAACCUGGGGACUGCAUUUGAUACUGGAUUGCUUGAAUUCGGGAGAGGAUAGCGGAAUUCCCAGUGUAGAGGUGAAAUUCGUAGAUAUCGAGAGGAACACCUGCGGCGAAGGCGGGUAGCUGGGCCGACACUGACGCUGAGGCGCGAAAGCCAGGGGAGCGAACGGG
rnacentral:rRNA from 1 species